GACGAACGCUGGCGGCGUGCUUAACACAUGCAAGUCGAACGGAAAGGCCCUGCUUUUGUGGGGUGCUCGAGUGGCGAACGGGUGAGUAACACGUGAGUAACCUGCCCUUGACUUUGGGAUAACUUCAGGGAACUGGGGCUCAUACCGGAUAGGAGCUACUGCUGCAUGGUGGGGGUUGGAAAGUUUCGGCGGUUGGGGAUGGACUCGCGGCUUAUCAGCUUGUUGGUGGGGUAGUGGCUUACCAAGGCUUUGACGGGUAGCCGGCCUGAGAGGGUGACCGGCCACAUUGGGACUGAGAGACGGCCCAGACUCCUACGGGAGGCAGCAGUGGGGAAUAUUGCACAAUGGGCGGACGCCUGAUGCAGCAACGCCGCGUGCGGGAUGACGGCCUUCGGGGUGUAAACCGCUUUCGCCUGUGACGAAGCGUGAGUGACGGUAAUGGGUAAAGAAGCACCGGCUAACUACGUG
rnacentral:rRNA from 1 species